AGCCAUUAAACUAACAAAAAAACUUAAAAUAGUUACGUUUCCUUAAGAGAUCAGGUUGGUUUUUCCUCAUUAUCUUUAACAACAGGGCUGCUAUACCUAAACACUGUCAUCAAUACUGAAUACACUGAACACCCAGCAUUCUGUUUCACCCCCCUUAACUCAACACAAAAGCAUCAAACACCCGAGUGCUGACAGAGGGGGUAAAACGAUCAUGCUCAUUGCUAUUUGAAUGAGGUCGCGAGGUAAAGCAAAGCCAGAUGGAAAGGAAAUCUUCCCCCGUGCCAGUGACUAUCUCCACACUCCUCAACAGACAGCAUUUCAGCGAUGGAAACAGAAGGACAGGCCAUCAUCAGUGGGAGGAGAGACAUCAGCUGUAUGUGGGAGGGGGCUGAGGCUGAAAUCAAACCCCGUCCAAUUGGAUCGCACAGAAGUGUUUACAAUGCGCGAGCCUCAGCAAACGUAGACCAGUGGGAG
rnacentral:lncRNA from 1 species